rnacentral:rRNA from 1 species
GCUAAACAGCUAGCUUAAACACCAAAAAUUACUCAUCAACAUUAAAAAUCUUUACAAGACCCCAAUAACCCAAAUUAAAACAUUUUACCGCCCAAGUAUGUGAGACAGAAAAGGCACACUAAAG